GUGCCAGCCGCCGCGGUAAUACGUAGGUGGCAAGCGUUGUCCGGAUUUACUGGGCGUAAAGGAUGCGUAGGCGGAUAUUUAAGUGAGAUGUGAAAUACCCGGGCUCAACUUGGGUGUUGCAUUUCAAACUGGAUAUCUAGAGUGCAGGAGAGGAAAGUGGAAUUCCUAGUGUAGCGGUGAAAUGCGUAGAGAUUAGGAAGAACAUCAGUGGCGAAGGCGACUUUCUGGACUGUAACUGACGCUGAGGCAUGAAAGCGUGGGGAGCAAACAGGAUUAGAAACCCGGGUAGUCCA
rnacentral:rRNA from 1 species